AUCAAGAUCCCCUUUCUUCUGCUGCCAUAUUGAAAAUUGAAUUCUCUGCAAAACUGCUACACAAGAAAUAACACAGUUCUGACUUUACUCCAUGGAAUGGGUUGUUAUUGAUCACAACAGUUGUGUUCCAGUGUGACGUCACUUUGGUAUGUUGAUUGGCUGCUGCUAAAAAGUGACAAAUGUAUUGGACGUACCAAAUCACAGUGCUGUUGUUACUCUUUUGCCCCAAAUAUAUACAAGGUUAGUUGUACAGUAUCAAUUUUCUUUGUUAAUGUUUUUCUUAAUUUUAAUUUUGUGCGUUUGUGUGUGUUGUUGUUAUUGUUUUGUUCUAUUUUUUUGUUUGCUGUGUUGAGUGGGUUUUUUUGUGUGCGCCAUAUCAUAUUGACAUAGAAGUUGUUUAAUCAAGGUUAUGACAUUCAAAGACUCGCUGUUUUCCAAAAGUGUUACGAUACACAUUUAGAUACUUAAAUGAUGGCUGAUGCUAUACACUAUUGUGAUUAUGUACAAGCCUUUUCAUGUUUGUGGUGAAAAUAUUGUACCAUUUUCCAUUGUUAGGAGCAAUGCAAUAGAUGUGACAACUGAUGGAUGUCAAAGUUGUGGGACAAUAUGCUCAUCUUUUGCAAACAGUUGUUGUUACAGAUAGUCCAGGGCCAGUUGUCAACAUAUAAUUUAAUGAAGAGAGCAGGCAACAUACACCAUUUUGAAGCUUAAGCCUUGGAGAUUUUAAAAAUGUUUGGUGCCAUUUUUUUUUCUGACAGUUUCAAGGUCAUAUGUCAAGGUCAAAGGUCAAGAAUUUUUAAAUUCAGAGGUUUGAUAACAGAAUCA